GACAGAGGGGGCAAGCGUUGCUCGGAAUCACUGGGCGUAAAGGGUGCGUAGGCGGGUCUUUAAGUCAGGGGUGAAAUCCUGGAGCUCAACUCCAGAACUGCCUUUGAUACUGAGGAUCUUGAGUUCGGGAGAGGUGAGUGGAACUGCGAGUGUAGAGGUGAAAUUCGUAGAUAUUCGCAAGAACACCAGUGGCGAAGGCGGAUCACUGGCCCGAUACUGACGCUGAGGCACGAAAGCGUGGGGAGCAAACAGG
rnacentral:rRNA from 1 species